AACGCGAAGAACCUUACCUGGUCUUGACAUCCACGGAAGUUUUCAGAGAUGAGAAUGUGCCUUCGGGAACCGUGAGACAGGUGCUGCAUGGCUGUCGUCAGCUCGUGUUGUGAAAUGUUGGGUUAAGUCCCGCAACGAGCGCAACCCUUAUCCUUUGUUGCCAGCGAUCCGGCCGGGAACUCAAAGGAGACUGCCAGUGAUAAACUGGAGGAAGGUGGGGAUGACGUCAAGUCAUCAUGGCCCUUACGACCAGGGCUACACACGUGCUGCAAUGGCGCAUACAAAGAGAAGCGACCUCGCGAGAGCAAGCGGACCUCAUAAAGUGCGUCGUAGUUCGGAUUGGAGUCUGCAACUCGACUCCAUGAAGUCGGAAUCGCUAGUAAUCGUGGAUCAGAAUGCCACGGUGAAUACGUUCCCGGGUCUUGUACACACGC
rnacentral:rRNA from 1 species